rnacentral:rRNA from 1 species
AGAGUUUGAUCAUGGCUCAGAAUCAACGCUGGCGGCGUGCCUAACACAUGCAAGUCGAACGCGAAAGGGGCUUCGGCUCUGAGUAGAGUGGCGAACGGGUGAGUAACACGUGGGUGACCUACCUUCGAAUGGGGGAUAACGUCCCGAAAGGGACGCUAAUACCGCAUAACAUCCUGCUUUUGAACAGGCGGAAAUCAAAGCCGGGGAUCGCAAGACCUGGCGUUUGGAGAGGGGCCCGCGUCUGAUUAGCUAGUUGGUGAGGUAACGGCUCACCAAGGCGACGAUCAGUAUCCGGCCUGAGAGGGCGGACGGACACACUGGGACUGAGACACGGCCCAGACUCCUACGGGAGGCAGCAGUGGGGAAUUGUUCGCAAUGGGCGCAAGCCUGACGACGCAACGCCGCGUGGAGGAUGAAGGUCUUCGGAUUGUAAACUCCUGUUGCCCGGGACGAAACGCUUCGACCUAACACGUCGAAGCUUGACGGUACCGGGUGAGGAAGCCCCGGCUAACUCUGUGCCAGCAGCCGCGGUA